rnacentral:rRNA from 1 species
ACUCAAAUGAAUAGACGGGGACCCGCACAAGCAGCGGAGCAUGUGGUUUAAUUCGAAGCAACGCGAAGAACCUUACCAAGGCUUGACAUCCCCUUGACCAGUGCAGAGAUGUACUCUCUCCUUCGGGAGCAAGGGAGACAGGUGGUGCAUGGUUGUCGUCAGCUCGUGUCGUGAGAUGUUGGGUUAAGUCCCGCAACGAGCGCAACCCUUAUCAUUAGUUGCCAGCAGGUGAAGCUGGGCACUCUAAUGAGACUGCCGAUGAUAAAUCGGAGGAAGGUGGGGAUGACGUCAAAUCAUCAUGCCCCUUAUGUCUUGGGCUACACACGUGCUACAAUGGUCGGAACAACGGGAAGCGAAAUAGAGAUAUGGAGCAAAUCCCAAUAAACCGAUCCCAGUUCGGAUUGUAGGCUGCAACUCGCCUACAUGAAGUCGGAGUUGCUAGUAAUCGCGAAUCAGAACGUCGCGGUGAAUGCGUUCCCGGGUCUUGUACACACCGCCCGU